UUUACUGGUGUUUAUCUUGAUUCUCAUCAAUUAAUAAACAUAUAGACGGCGACAACUUCAGCUGUCAAAUAUAGGUCGAUAUGGAUAGAUAGGCGGUGAAUUAAUGGAGCCCCGAAACAUUUCUACACAGGUUAAUUAUUCAUUGCGGCCGCACGUUUAUUGAUUAAACACAUUUGGGCAUCUAUCAAAAAAGAAAGAAGAAGAAGAAAAAAAUAACUCGACCGAGAUGCCAGGUUUGUGAUUCACUUCUCCGAACAUCUUGAUAACACGAGAGGACAGCACAGUGAAACCCAUCUACACGUAUAUUGAUUGAAGGGUCGCAAGAGAAAGGUAGUGCAACAUCAUCACAGAUGGAGUAUGGGGACUAGGUACUCCCUGGAGAACAUCCUCGUCAUCUGUGCCAUUGUAGGACUGUGCCUUCUAAUUAUUGCUAUUGUGACUCUGAUCAGCAUUUUCACAUCCAGGUGGCGCUAUACAAUGUCACGUGAACACGACCUGGAGGAUUCCAGAUAUGACAACACCAUCAUAUCUAGUUACGAAGGGGACAGUUCCAUGUGGACUACUGAAGGCACUUUCCGGACACUAGAAGAAAUCUGAGUUAUCAGAUACGUGUUUCCUUGUCUGACGUCUAACAGUUGUAUCGUGUAAAACUCAUUCUAUCUGUAUGAUACAUUAUAUACUCAUCAUGAAUUGAAAAUUAUCACCAUUUACAGGAUUUGGAUGACAUCUCUUCAAGAGGGAAGCCAAUAUAAGAAAUUUAAAUAUCUGAUAGAAAUAUAAUUGUUAAUAAAUAUUAAAACUGAA